CAGCCGCCCCGGUAAUACGUAGGGGGCGAGCGUUACCCGGAUUCACUGGGCGUAAAGGGGGUGUAGGCGGCUCGGUAAGUCGGGUGUGAAAUCCCACGGCUCAACCGUGGAAUUGCGCCCGAAACUGCCGAGCUUGGGGCCGGUAGAGGGAGACGGAACUGCCGGUGUAGGGGUGAAAUCCGUAGAUAUCGGCAGGAACGCCGGUGGGGAAGCCGGUCUCCUGGGCCGCGCCCGACGCUGAGACCCGAAAGCUAGGGGAGCAAACCGGAUUAGAUACCCGGGUAGUCCUAGCCGUAAACGAUGCCCACUAGGUGUGGGGGAUUAAUUCCUCCGUGCUGUAGCUAACGCGUUAAGUGGGCCGCCUGGGGAGUACGCCCGCAAGGGUGAAACUUAAAGGAAUUGGCGGG
rnacentral:rRNA from 1 species